GCGAAGCGUGUGCAUCCGGCCAUCCCUCUUCAGCAAAGCACCGAAGCACACGCAUCACCUAAAGCGCAUGCGUCGGUGCUGCUCAGAAGAGUGGCGGACUGCUGCUCCAGACCUGGC
rnacentral:precursor_RNA from 15 species